rnacentral:rRNA from 1 species
GACGAACGCUGGCGGCGUGCCUAAUACAUGCAAGUAGGACGCAGUUGCGAACGGGUGAGUAACGCGUAGGUAACUGCCUAUUAGAGGGGGAUAACUAUUGGAAACGAUAGCUAAUACCGCAUACUAGUAGAUGGACCUGCGUUGUAUUAGCUAGUAGGUAGGGUAAUGGCCUACCUAGGCGACGAGACAUAGCCGACCUGGGAGGGUGGACGGCCACACUGGGACUGGGACACGGGCCAGACUCCGACGGGGGGCAGCAGUAGGGAAGAUUCGGCAAUGGGGGGAACCCUUACCGAGCAACGCAGGGUGAGUGAAGAAGGUUUUCGGGUCGUAAAGCUCUGUUGUUAAGGAAGCGGUACUUAACCAGAAAGGGACGGCUAACUACGUGCCAGCAGCCGCGGUAAUUC